rnacentral:rRNA from 1 species
CUGUCGGAUAGGUAAAACCCCGGGAAACUGGGGCUAAUCCCCGAUAGGCGAGGGGGCCUGGAACGGUCCCUCGCCGAAAGGGACCUCAGGGGGUUAUCGCCUGGGGUCCGCCUGAGGAUGGGGCCACGGCUCAUCAUGGUAGUUGGCGGGGUAAUGGCCCGCCAAGCCGACGACGGGUAGGGGCCGUGGGAGCGGGAGCCCCCAGAUGGGCCCUGAGACAAGGGCCCAGGCCCUACGGGGCGCACCAGGCGCGAAACCUCCGCAAUGCGGGAAACCGUGACGGAGUCACCCCGAGUGCCACCCGAUGAGGGUGGCUUUUGCCCGGUCUAAAAAGCCGGGCGAAUAAGCGGGGGGCAAGCUUGGUGUCAGCCGCCGCGGUAAUACCAACCCCGCGAGUGGUCGGGACGUUUAUUGGGCCUAAAGCGUCCGUAGCCGGCCCGGUAAGUCCCUCCUUAAAGCCCACGGCUCAACCGUGGGAGCGGAGGGAUACUGCCGGGCUAGGGGACGGGAGAGGUCGGGGGUACUCCUGGGGUAGGGGCGAAAUCCUAUAAUCCCAGGAGGACCACCAGUGGCGAAGGCGCUCGGCUAGCACGCGCUCGACGGUGAGGGACGAAAGCUGGGGGAGCAAAGGGAUUAGAUAUCUCGUAGUCCCAGCUGUAAACGAUGCAGCUAGUGUUAGGCGGGCUUCGUGCUCGCCUAGUGCCGUAGGGAAGCUCGUUAAGCCUGCCGUCUGGGGAGUACGGCCGCAAGCUGAAACUUAAAGGAUUGGCGGGGGAGCACCACAAGGGGUGAAGCUUGCCGUUUAAUUGGAGUCAACGCCGGAAAUCUUACUCGGGGCGACAGCAGGAUGAAGGCCAGGCUAACCGACCUUGCCUGACCCCUGAGGGAGUGCAUGCGUCGCCAGCUCGUGCUGUGAAGUGUCUGUUAAGUCAGCAACGAGCCGAAACUCCCUCCCUAAGUGCAAUCCUGGCGGCAACGCCGGGCAACCUAGGGGAACUGCCCGCGCUAAGGCGGAGGAAGAGGGGUCUGCC